ensembl:lncRNA
CAGCGGUGAAGACCUCUGUCCCACAAAGCCCCGCCCCGCCGCUGUCCAGCGACCCGCCGCCGCCCGUCGCCGUCGCCGCCGCCUCGCUGCCCCCCACCUCGUCCAAACCCACCGCUGCCUCCCAGGCUGCGGCGGCGGCCCCGGGCCCCACCCCGUGGCCCCGCCUCGGGGCCAGCUGGCAGCCGGCGCGCGUCCCCCCACCGGGCCUGCCCCAGGACGAGCCCCUGGAUGGCCCUGGCCAAGAAGAAGGCCAAGGCCUGGAGCGAGAUGCCUCAGAUCGUGCAGUAGGGCGGGGUCAGCGGUCAGACAGUCCAGCUGAAGAGACAGACUGUGUAGAAGGCGAACCUGUGUGAGUGUUUGAAGGUUCAGGGCUGGGGGGAGAGAGUCGGUCCGUGGACCAGGAUGCUUUUGCACACCCAGACUAGUUGAUUAGUUUAUCCCUCCUGGUUUGUUUGCCGGCUUGCUGUGAUCGCUAACAAACCCACUGAACAUGCCAAAAACUAAAAAUCAUCCUUCUAUUCCUCCGAUCAGUUUUGCAAAUCAGUUUUUCGUUUUUUUAUCAAAUCUGUAAAUUCUUGUGGAUUCGCUUCCGUCAGAACAGUGCACUUGAGAGUGAUUUAAUUCAAUAAUCUGUAUAUGCCUCCUAUACGCUUUGGGUUUGGUUUGGUUAUAGAUCUUGUUGUGAAAGGCUGACCCACGCUUAAGAGAGACCUGUAAAUAGUCCACAGCUCCUGUCUAUGUUAGAUCGGUUAGCUUCCAGAAACCGCACCCUGAAUCUCUUUCUUUAUUAAAAGAGAUUUCUGCUAGCGACACAGUGCAUAUUAAAGGGGCAAGAGUGGCUCUUAAACAUGCUUUUUAUCUCACCAGAUGUUUGUUUUAAUACUAAAGAUACCCUUUUCCAGAAGGGUAAAUUGUGUUUUACUCUGGGUUAAUACCAUUGAGAUGACUCUCAGUAAAUAGGUCAUUAGGGUCCUAGAGAUAAGACAAAGGGUGAUGGUUUCAAAGCUGUAAAAGGGCAUAUGGACUACCAUGUUUGAAACUCUUAUGGCCGUCUUCUUCUUCCUUAUUCAUCUAUCACUUCUAACAUAUUCAGAGGACACCUCACUAAUGCACUAGUGCAACAGGGUGCACAUUGUCGUAAGUUAUGUAUGUUGUUUUGUUUUGAAUCUUGUUUGUUGGAUUGAAAGACAACCCUCUCCACUUGUCCCAUCGUAUUGUACGGCGUAAAUGUGUUCUGAACACACGUAACGCCUUGUUCUGAUGAAACAUCAAAACUAGGUUGAUAGUGUCAAACAUUGUAUGAAUCAAUUGUCAGAAACUACUGCCAAAAACAAAAUCGGCCAUUAUUCACAAAUCAUGAAAUAACGGCGUCUCCUGAGCAAAAGAUGUCGAUACAAAAAGUUAUUUUUGUACUAACGAUAACUCUUUUUCACCAACUAAAUAUUAAUGUUUAUGAAUUGUAUCUUUUGUUGCCUUUAAAUGUUUUCCUUGUAAAUAAUAGAUUUUCAGUAAAGAACGACUCAACCACAUUUUUGUGUCCUCCAUUCAAAGUGUGCGUGUGUGCGUGCGUGUGUGUGUGCGUGUGUGUGUGUGUGUGUGUGUGUGUGUGUGUGUGUGUGUGUGUGUGUGUGUGUGUGUGUGUGUGUGUGUGUGUGUGUGUGUGUGUGUGUGCAUGCUUCUGAACGUGUGUGCCUCUACCAAGUAUCCAUAGCGAGGCUGGCUGGCUGCUGACCUUCUCAUUUUCAAGGUUAUGCAAGCAGCCUACUUGGCAAACAUGGUCAUACUGGGAGAGAGAGGUUGGGAGAGAGAGGUUGGGGAGAGUGAGGUUGGGGAAAGAGAGGUUAGGGAGAGCGAGGGCAGAGAGAGAGAGGGCAGGGAGAGAGGGCAGGAGAGGGGAGGGAGAGGGGGAAGGGAGAGAGAGGGCAAGGAGAGCUGAGAGAGGGCAGGGAGAGAGAGGGAAGGGAGAGCGAGGGCAAGGAGAGCUGAGAGAGGUCAACAUAGCAGUUCUAGGGAAAUAGUUAUUCAUUUUUACAAUGAAACAGCUAGAAAUGCUGAAGGUAAUUUCAAUUGAAUUUAGCAGUAAGGAAAUAGUAAAGUUGUUCAGCCUAUUAACUUAUUAAUGAACAUAAACAUUCAGCGUUAGAUGGGGUUUUAUGUAAGGGGGUUGGGCGGGGUUGCGUAAAGCUGAAAGCAGGUCAGACAAGAACAAAGGCUCCCUGGUAAGAGAUCCCUGGUUCUGUCUGCUGUACGGAUUACGAUCUAAUCUGUUACAUAUGUUCACUGCUGGUCUAUUCAGUUCGGUAGGUCCUCUGUCCAGUUCUGUUGUAUUUAGUUGGUCUAUUCAGUUCACCAUGUCCUCUUCCGAUAUGUUUAGUUGGUCUAAUCGGUUCACCAUGUCCUCUUCUGAUAUUUUUAGUUGUUCUAUUCAGUUCACUAUGUCCUCUUCUGAUAUGUUUAGUUGGUCUAAUCGGUUCACUAUGUCCUCUUCUGAUAUUUUUAGUUGGUCUAUUCAGUUCACUAUGUCCUCUUCUGAUAUUUUUAGUUGUUCUAUUCAGUUCACUAUGUCCUCUUCUGAUAUGUUUAGUUGUUCUAUUCAGUUCACUAUGUCCUCUUCUGAUAUAUUUAGUUGGUCUAUUCGGUUCACUAUGAAUUCUUCUGAUAUAUUUAGUUGUUCUAUUCACUAUGCUCUUCUUCCAGUUCUUUUAUAUUUAGUUGGUCUUUUCAGUUCACUACAGUUCCCUUUCAGUCCUCUUAUCCGUCCUCAUCCUGCGAGUAAAUACAAUGGAGCUCACAAGGUCAGGAUGGUUUCGUGAGGCUUAGGGGAUUCCAACAAAAUUAUUAUUUCAAAUAAAAAUCAUUAUUUCUAACCUUGUCUUGACAAUAUUUCCUAUUCAUUUUGCAACUCAUUUCAUGAAUAAAAGUGUGAGUUUCG